rnacentral:sRNA from 1 species
CUGCUGCGAUGUGGGGAGGAUACAGCCCCUUAGAUGCGAAUUCCUUCGAGGCAAGAUCGCUUGCACCACGAAGAGUCACUCCCCUCAUCAUCGAUCCUCUACCGGUGGAACACCGACGAGGUCUCAUAGGUGUUGCCAUUACCUCCAUUCUUUCAACGAUUUCUACGGGUGUCCUCUUUAUAGUAUUUACCUACCGCUUGAUCUAUUGGCGAAAAUACUACCCAACAUAUCUCGGCUAUAAUCAAUUCCUCAUCUUGAUUUACAACUUGCUAUUAGCGGAUUUUCAACAAGCGAUUGGCUUUUUCCUGUCAAUACACUGGGUCAUCACAGACCAAAUAUCUUACCGUUCACGUAUGUGCUUCGCGCAGGGGUGGCUACUCC